rnacentral:rRNA from 1 species
UUGCGUAGGUGGCAUGGUAAGUUGAUAGUGAAAGCGUGCGGCUCAACCGCAUACACAUUAUCAAAACUGCCAAGCUAGAGGACGAGAGAGGUAAUUGGAAUUCCUAGUGUAGGAGUGAAAUCCGUAGAUAUUAGGAGGAACACCGAUGGCGUAGGCAGAUUACUGGCUCGUUCCUGACACUAAGGCACGAAAGCGUGGGUAGCAAACG